AUGGUGGGAUUUUUUGGGAAGUCACAGCCUCCCGUGCUUUCCCGAGAAGUGUGGAGGCGGGGCCCUUCUGUCUAAGACUCGUCCACCGAAAAUAACCUGCAUGAGGGAGGGAAGAGACUUCCAGAGUAAAAGUGAGAGAGGGAGGAGGAAAGGAUAGCGCCCGAAACAUCGGAGAGGGGGACGACAAGAAGAAGAAGAGAAACGGAGUGUCUGCGUUGCAAUGGAAUUAAAACUGCGCAAUUUCAUAUCCUCUCCGCCGCUCUGCCUGUGUUGGCCAGCGGCUGCAGAUCUCGGCUGCAGAUCAGCCACACACCGCCUCAUGGCUCCUGGAAAUGCGUUCGUCCAGCUUGCGCGGAUUUCCGCGCCAUACACCACUGUCCGCCGUUUUGACAAACAUUGUCUGGCAAUUUUUGUGAUCAUGUUUGACCUACAUGGCAAACGUUUGAGGAAGAAAUAGCUUGAAACAAGCCACAGUGACGGCCACAUCUUCGCUUCGGUUUCAUAACGUAUCUGCGCGUGUGGAAGUGCAUCCUCACGCCGUCAUUAGGAACAUGCGUAUCGAUUUGGAAUGCAUAAUUAAACCUUCAAACAUGACCAUGCUCAUGCUGCGUGACUCUCCAGGCGCCCAUUCGGGUGGGAAGAGGGGAGUGCGUGACAUAACCGUCUUUUGGGGAUGCAACACUGUACAAUUUACCACUAUGGAAAAGGGACACGGCACCUCCCAGGCACUCUCUGAUUUUGGCAGCAGAGAAGUGCAAGCAAACCUGAAUGCUGAUGAACGAGCUGGGCAGUACCAAAGCCCGUCUUAUUAGACAUUCUCUGGCAGUACCAACACCGCGAGGGUCAGAGAGUUUGUCUGAGGAUCACAACAGCCAAUCAUGACAGAGUUUCUCGUGCCUCUUGAGGGGCAGACCAAAUGGCCAAUCGGCUUUUACGAUGGGACGUCCCCGCGUCCUGGGUCUGUCGGUUCACCUCUCACCCAGGCAGCUCUCUCCUCCUCCCCAGGUGGAGGCCACCACGCUGGGCAGGUAAGCCCAUCUCAGUCCCCCCACCUCCACCACCAAGUCUCCC